GGUAGACGGGAGUUAGCAUAUACCCAUCAUCUUCAACGUACACGUGUUCAUAAUCAUACGUGGCAUCAUCUCACGACGCAACCGGGUCGUUCGUUAAACCUACCGUGACGGAACCACUGCCGUAGAAUAUACUGCUGUCAGACAUAUUUAAACCUUAAUCCUAAAAUCUAAAAACCUAUACAUAUAUAAAUAAAUAUAUUUUACAUAUUUAUAUUUACAUCCGUCGAGUUCUUCGGACAUGCAAUCGUGAACGGCAGCGUUUCGACGACGGUGGGAGUAGUUUAUCGAUGUCGACGGAAAAUUUGCUACUUCAUAACAGCG
rnacentral:lncRNA from 1 species